CUAAGUUCAGCGCGUAUUCCUACCUGAUCCGAGGUCAACCUUAGAAGUUUCCUGGUGAGAGGAGAAGACCGGGUCCCGGGCGCCCUUAAGUCCGAUACGUGCUCCGUGAAGAACUCAGUGUACCGGGGGUCCAACGAGGCCGCCGUCAUUGUCUUUGGGAGGGGCAGGAGCCCCCGAGGGGGCCUCCACCAAACCGUCCA
rnacentral:misc_RNA from 1 species